GGCAGCGCGGGGAGCUUGCUCCCUGGCGGCGAGUGGCGGACGGGUGAGUAACGCGUAGGAAUCUACCCAGUAGUGGGGGACAACCCGGGGAAACUCGGGCUAAUACCGCAUACGCCCUACGGGGGAAAGGGGGGGACCUCUUCGGAGGCCUCCCGCUAUUGGAUGAGCCUGCGUCGGAUUAGCUUGUUGGUAGGGUAAUGGCCUACCAAGGCGACGAUCUGUAGCUGGUCUGAGAGGACGAUCAGCCACACUGGGACUGAGACACGGCCCAGACUCCUACGGGAGGCAGCAGUGGGGAAUAUUGGACAAUGGGGGCAACCCUGAUCCAGCAAUGCCGCGUGUGUGAAGAAGGUCUUCGGGUUGUAAAGCACUUUCAGUGGGGAAGAAAAGCUUGAGGUUAAUACCCUCGGGUCUUGACGGUACCUACAGAAGAAGCACCGGCUAACUCCGUGCCAGCAGCCGCGGUAAUACGGAGGGUGCGAGCGUUAAUCGGAAUCACUGGGCGUAAAGCGUGCGUAGGCGGUUCGGUAAGUCAGAUGUGAAAGCCCUGGGCUCAACCUGGGAACUGCAUUUGAUACUGUCGAGCUAGAGUUUGGUAGAGGGAAGUGGAAUUCCCGGU
rnacentral:rRNA from 1 species